UACGUAGGGUGCAAGCGUUAAUCGGAAUUACUGGGCGUAAAGCGUGCGCAGGCGGUUUUGUAAGUCUGACGUGAAAUCCCCGGGCUCAACCUGGGAAUUGCGUUGGAGACUGCUAGGCUAGAAUCUGGCAGAGGGGGGUAGAAUUCCACGUGUAGCAGUGAAAUGCGUAGAGAUGUGGAGGAACACCGAUGGCGAAGGCAGCCCCCUGGGUCAAGAUUGACGCUCAUGCACGAAAGCGUGGGGAGCAAACAGG
rnacentral:rRNA from 1 species